UCAAGCUAAUAAGGGCUAACGGUGGAUACCUAGGCACACGGAAGCGAAGAAGGACGUAGUUACCGACGAAACGCUUCGGGGAGCGGGAAGCAAGCAUUGAUCCGAAGAUAUCCGAAUGGGGCAACCCUAACACGACCACCUGAAUACAUAGGGUGGAGCGAGCAAACCUGGUGAACUGAAACAUCUUAGUAGCCAGAGGAAAAGAAAGCAACAGCGAUUCCCCCAGUAGCGGCGAGCGAAAAGGGAACAGCCUAAACCAAGUUCUGCGGAACUUGGGGUCGUGGGACAGUGACAAAAGACUGGGAAAUUUAGACGAAGCGGCUGAAAACCGCACCAGAGAAGGUGAAAGUCCUGUAGUCGAAAAAGGAACCAGCUUAACUGCAUCCCGAGUAGCAUGGGGCACGUGAAAUCCCGUGUGAAUCUGCCUCGACCACGAGGUAAGGCUAAAUAUUCCCGUGUGACCGAUAGAGAAACAGUACCGCGAGGGAAAGGUGAAAAGAACCCCGGAAGGGGAGUGAAAUAGAACAUGAAACCGUUAGCCUACAAGCAAUGGGAGGACGAUUGAACGUCUGACCGUGUGCCUGUUGAAGAAUGAGCCGGCGACUUACAGGUUAUGGCAGGUGAAGGGGGAAGACCCCACAGCCCCAGCGAAAGCGAGUCUGAAGAGGGCGAAAAGUCAUAAUUUGUAGACCCGAACCCGGGUGAUCUAACCAUGGCCAGGAUGAAGCUUGGGUAAAACCAAGUGGAAGUCCGAACCGACUAAUGUUGAAAAAUUAGCGGAUGAGCUGUGGUUAGGGGUGAAAUGCCAAUCGAACUCGGAGCUAGCUGGUUCUCCCCGAAAUGUGUUGAGGCGCAGCGGUAGUGGAAGUUUAGUCGGGGUAAAGCACUGUUUCGCCGCGGGCUGGGAGACCGGUACCAAGGCGAGGCAAACUCUGAAUACGGCUAAAAAAACUACCAGUGAGACGGUGGGGGAUAAGCUUCAUCGUCAAGAGGGAAACAGCCCAGACCACCAGCUAAGGUCCCCAAAUGAUAACUAAGUGAGAAAGGAGGUGGGAGUGCAUUGACAACCAGGAGGUUUGCCUAGAAGCAGCAAUCCUUAAAAGAGUGCGUAAUAGCUCACUGGUCAAGCGCUCCUGCGCCGAAAAUGAACGGGGCUAAGUUAUCUACCGAAGCUGUGGACUACAUUGUAGUGGUAGGGGAGCGUUCUAUAGGGGGUGAAGCAGUAGCGGCAAGCAGCUGUGGACUCUAUAGAAGUGAGAAUGUCGGCUUAAGUAGCGAAAAUGUGGGUGAGAAUCCCACACCCCGAAACCCCAAGGUUUCCUCCGCAAGGCUCGUCCGCGGAGGGUCAGUCAGGACCUAAGGCGAGGCUGAAAAGUGUAGUCGAUGGACAACGGGUUAACAUUCCCGUACCGAUUAAUGAUUGUGCCGGAGAACGGAGAAGGUCAACGUCAGCUGGAUGUUGGUUACCAGUGCAAGCAGUCGAGGCGAUGAGCGGUGGAGAAAACACCAGGAGCUAAGACGCGAGUCCCACCUCCCACGGGAGGGAAGUGGCGCUGAUCAAGCUUCCUAGAAAAGCCCGAACCACGUUAAUCAUUAAUUGCCUGUACCCGAAACCGACACAGGUGGGGAAGUAGAGAAUACUAAGGGGCGCGAGAUAACUCUCUCUAAGGAACUCGGCAAAAUGACCCCGUAACUUCGGGAGAAGGGGUACCCUCGCAAGAGGGUCGCAGUGAAUAGGCCCAGGCGACUGUUUACCAAAAACACAGGUCUCCGCCAAGUCGUAAGACGCAGUAUGGAGGCUGACGCCUGCCCAGUGCCGGAAGGUUAAGGAAGUUGGUCAGGAGUAAUCUAAAGCUGACGACCGAAGCCCCGGUGAACGGCGGCCGUAACUAUAACGGUCCUAAGGUAGCGAAAUUCCUUGUCGGGUAAGUUCCGACCCGCACGAAAGGCGUAACGAUCUGGGCACUGUCUCGGAGAGAGACUCGGCGAAAUAGGAUUGUCUGUGAAGAUACGGACUACCUGCACCUGGACAGAAAGACCCUAUGAAGCUUUACUGUAGCCUGGAAUUGGCUUCGGGCUUCGCUUGCGCAGGAUAGGUGGGAAGCUUUGAAACUCUCCUCGUGGGGAGGGUGGAGCUAACGGUGAGAUACCACUCUGGCGAGGCUAGAAUUCUAACCCUGACCCCUAAUCGGGGCGGGAGACAGUUUCAGGUGGGCAGUUUGACUGGGGCGGUCGCCUCCUAAAAGGUAACGGAGGCGCGCAAAGGUUCCCUCGGUCCCGUUGGAAAUGGGACGAUAGAGUGCAAAAGCAGAAGGGAGCUUGACUGUGAGACCCACAAGUCGAACAGGGACGAAAGUCGGCUUUAGUGAUCCGACGGCACCGCGUGGAAGGGCCGUCGCUCAACGGAUAAAAGUUACUCUAGGGAUAACAGGCUGAUCUCCCCCAAGAGUUCACAUCGACGGGGAGGUUUGGCACCUCGAUGUCGGCUCAUCGCAACCUGGGGCUGAAGUCGGUCCCAAGGGUUGGGCUGUUCGCCCAUUAAAGCGGUACGUGAGCUGGGUUCAGAACGUCGUGAGACAGUUCGGUCCAUAUCCGGUGUAGGCGUAAGAGCAUUGCGAGGAGCCUUCCUUAGUACGAGAGGACCGGGAAGGACGCACCGCUGGUGUACCUGUUAUCGUGCCAACGGUAAACGCAGGGUAGCCAUGUGCGGAGCGGAUAACCGCUGAAAGCAUCUAAGUGGGAAGCCCACCUCCAGAUGAUUGCUCUCAUGGCAUUAAGCCAGUAAGGUCUCGGGUAGACUACCCGUUGAUAGGCUCUAGAUGGAAGCUCGGUAACGAGUGCAGUCGAGGAGUACUAACCGACCGAGGGCUUGACCUC
rnacentral:rRNA from 1 species